rnacentral:rRNA from 1 species
UACGGAAUGUGCAAACGUUAUUCGGAAUCACUGGGCUUAAAGAGUCCGUAGGCGGCUUGUUAGGUGAGGUGUGAAAUCCCCCGGCUCAACCGAGGAAUUGCGCUUCAAACCGGCAAGCUUGAGGAGGAUAGAGGUGGGCGGAACUGAUGGUGGAGCGGUGAAAUGCGUUGAUAUCAUCAGGAACACCGGAGGCGAAAGCGGUCCACUGGGUCCUUUCUGACGCUGAGGCGCGAAAGCCAGGGGAGCAAACGGG